rnacentral:lncRNA from 1 species
UCCAGUUGCAGCUGAUAAGAUAGUAAUUUACCAGAGAAAUUAAAGGAUACUUGUGUGACUAUGGCCAUGUUUUCUUCUACUUCCAGACCAGCGCAAAGUUUCAUCCUGUGUGCAUUAACACUUUGCUGAAUGGGCCUUGGGACCCUCCAGAUGCUCAAAGGACAGAGAGGUACACCUGCCCUGUCCUCCCCAAUGAUGACUCUCCUGUGAAGUACAGUGUGCGCAAAGACAGGACUAGUAACAACAAAGACCACAUAAAGGUAAGUCAUACUUCUACAGAGUAGUCCUGGCAGGGAAGAUGGUGAAUUUUACCCCACAGUUUCCUAUACUGGCAGGCGGGCACAAAAGCUUUGAGGGACC